UACGAGGGGGGCAAGCGUUGUUCGGAAUUAUUGGGCGUAAAGGGUGCGUAGGCGGUUUGGUAAGUCUGAUGUGAAAUCUAUGGGCUCAACUCAUAGUCUGCAUCGGAAACUGCCGGGCUUGAGUGUGGGAGAGGUGAGUGGAAUUCCUGGUGUAGCGGUGAAAUGCGUAGAUAUCAGGAGGAACACCUGUGGCGAAAGCACUCUGCUGGGCCGACACUGACACUGAGAGACGAAAGCUAGGGGAGCGAAUGGG
rnacentral:rRNA from 1 species